rnacentral:tRNA from 1 species
AGUAAUAUCAGCUAAACAAGCUGUUGGGCCCAUACCCCAAAAAUGGAGGUUAGACCCCUUCUGUUACUA